rnacentral:rRNA from 1 species
CCGGAUUAUUGGGUUUAAAGGGAGCGUAGGUGGACUGGUAUGUCAGUUGUGAAAGUUUGCGGCUCAACCGUAAAAUUGCAGUUGAUACUGUCAGUCUUGAGUACAGUAGAGGUGGGCGGAAUUCGUGGUGUAUCGGUGAAAUGCUUAGAUAUCACGAAGAACUCCGAUUGCGAAGGCAGCUCACUGGACUGCAACUGACACUGAUGCUCGAAAGUGUGGGUAUCAAACAGGAUUAGAUACCCUGGUAGUCCACACAGUAUACGAUGAAUACUCGCUGUUUGCGAUAUACAGUAAGCGGCCAAGCGAAAGCAUUAAGUAUUCCACCUGGGGAGUACGCCGGCAACGGUGAAACUCAAAGGAAUUGACGGGGGCCCGCACAAGCGGAGGAACAUGUGGUUUAAUUCGAUGAUACGCGAGGAACCUUACCCGGGCUUAAAUUGCAGUGGAAUGAUGUGGAAACAUGUCAGUGAGCAAUCACCGCUGUGAAGGUGCUGCAUGGUUGUCGUCAGCUCGUGCCGUGAGGUGUCGGCUUAAGUGCCAUAACGAGCGCAACCCUUAUCUUCAGUUACUAACAGGUCAUGCUGAGGACUCUGGAGAGACUGCCGUCGUAAGAUGUGAGGAAGGUGGGGAUGACGUCAAAUCAGCACGGCCCUUACGUCCGGGGCUACACACGUGUUACAAUGGGGGGUACAGAAGGCAGCUAGCGGGUGACCGUAUGCUAAUCCCAAAAUCCUCUCUCAGUUCGGAUCGAAGUCUGCAACCCGACUUCGUGAAGCUGGAUUCGCUAGUAAUCGCGCAUCAGCCACGGCGCGGUGAAUACGUUCCCGGGCCUUGUACACACCGCCCGUCAAGCCAUGGGAGCCGGGGGUACCUGAAGUACGUAACCGCAAGGAUCGUCCUAGGGUAAAACUGGUGACUGGGGCUAAGUCGUAACAAGGU